GGGGAUAUAGUUUAAUUGGUAAAACAACGAGUUUGCAAUUCGUAAUCUUAGGUCCGAUUCCUAAUAUCUCCA